rnacentral:rRNA from 1 species
UACGAAGGGGGCUAGCGUUGCUCGGAAUCACUGGGCGUAAAGCGCACGUAGGCGGCUUCUUAAGUCAGGGGUGAAAUCCUGGAGCUCAACUCCAGAACUGCCUUUGAUACUGAGGAGCUUGAGUCCGGGAGAGGUGAGUGGAACUGCGAGUGUAAAGGUGAAAUUCGUAGAUAUUCGCAAGAACACCAGUGGCGAAGGCGGCAUCCUGGACCGACACUGACGCUGAGGAGCGAAAGCCAGGGGAGCAAACGGG